GAAAAUGAAAAACCCGCGGCGAGUGGUGUCGUACUGUCGUCUCCCCGUUCGAGGGGAUCAGGGGAAUUGGACGGGCUUGCUUCGACUCCACCUCGCCUCCGUCGGCGUCUCAUCUCAUGCUGGGACUCUGGUGGGGUGGGGAUUGACUUCGCUAUAGCCCAAUCCAGUCAGCAGCAGCUUCCCGCCGCCCCAUGCCUCGUCGCGGCCGGUGGCGAUGGGCGACGUCCCAGUCCCUUCUCCAGCUCCCCCUGUUUCCGGCAUCGAUAUGACCCCACGCCGCCGCCGUGAGCCCUCCGAGCCCCGCAGCGACAGCGACUGGGACGCUGGAUCCAGUCGCGAGGGCUCCCCGGACCUCCUCCGCCGCGCGCCCGCCGUCCAGAUCUCGCGCGCCUCCUCUUCCUCGUCCUCCUGGCUCCGCGAGAUCGAGCGCGACCGUGUGCGCCUCGUCAGGGAGUGGGUCCACAUGGCUGCCCGCGACCGUGACGACGACACCGGACCCCCACCGUCCCCCGUCCAUGAACACGCUCGCAGGGACGCCCCCAGGAUCCGCGGCCGCCAAGCGCGCCUCGAGCUCGUCAUGCGCAUGGCCGCCGACCGCCAAGCCGAGCUCCACCGCCUCUCGCAGCACCGCGCCGUCUCUGACUUUCCGCAUCGCAACAGAAUCCAUGCGCUGCUCCGGGGUCGGUUUCUGCGCAACAGCGGUUUACCAGAGGAGAGGAGGCCCCCAUCUGUGGCCGCAAGGGAGCUUGGCCAGCUGCGGCAAAGGCAUCCUGUCUCUGGUUUGAGAGAAGAGUUCCGCUUCAGAUUGGAGAAUCUUGUCCGUGGUCAAGCAGAUAGCCAAGUGGAUGCUUCUUCAGUUCACGAUGUUGAGUUAUCUACAAAUGAUCGUUCUGAAUUAAGGCCUCCUGAAACUACUCAGGAGAGACAUGAGCGGACAAGUGAGAUUGUCAGUCUUCAACAAAUCGACAGUACGGCAAUGACAUCAGGAUUUGAAAGUGGCAGCCCUAACAUUGCUGAAGUCUUCUGCGGGUCUCAUAGCCAAGCAGAAAGUCAGGAUGAUUUGGAACAUGAGAGAAGAGACUGGCAACGAUUUUCCCAUGCUGUGAUUGGAGAGGAAUCUGAAAGAACUUGGCGUGAAAAUGCAGACAACAUGUCAUCUCAUGAGGGGACAGCAGUUGAAGAUGAUAAUAACGAUCAUCUUCCAGAAGCAAAUGAAGAGUCAACCAGUGUUGAUCACCUUCCUGAAGGACUUGAAGGGUCUAUCACUGAUGGUAGUCUUCCUGAAGCGCAAGAAGAUCAGCAUGACAGUGAUCAUCUUCCUGCAGUGCUUGAAGAGCUGCAUGGAAAUAAUCACUUUCAGGAAUCACAUGGGGAAUGGAGAAGAGAUGAUCGUCCUGUUGAAGUCUAUGAUGAGUGGCAGAGUGAUGAUCAUCUCCCUGAAGUAAAUGAAGAGUGGCAUAAUGAUGAUGAGUCUAAUGAUACUGCAGACAAUUGGCAUGAUAAUAAUUCUGACCAACCAAUUGAUCAUGAUGCUGCUCUUAUUAGAAGAGCUAAUACUUUCAUCCCUGGAGAUGAUGAUAAUGUGUACAGCACAGAAUUGAGGGAACUUCUAAGCAGAAGGAGCGUUUCUAAUCUUCUUCACAGUGCUUUUCGUGAAAACUUGGAUCGACUUAUCCGGUCAUAUGUGGAACGGCAAGGUCGUGGUCCUCUCCCUUGGGAUCUGGAAGGAACAACCCCUGCCCCUCCAUCACCAGUUCAAAUUCAGGAGGAGCAAAGAGAUGAUGAGGACCAGGAACUGCAGCGCACUGUCAACAGGCCUCCUUUAGUGAUACCACCCCCACCUAUGCCUCCUCGUCAGCCACUUUGGCAUUCAGAGUUGCAUCGUACUAAUUGGAUCAGACAAAACAUUCAUCGUUCAUCUUCUGAUAUUGCUGUGUUUAUAGUAGGCUAAUGCACUCAACUCUUCGAUUUAUAGAAUGGGAGGCUAUCAAUGAUUUAAGAGCUGAUAUGGCUAGACUUCAGCAAGGCAUGAGCCAUAUGCAAAGGAUGUUGGAAGCUUGCAUGGAUAUGCAGCUAGAGUUGCAGCGUUCUGUAAGGCAAGAAGUAUCAGCAGCCUUGAAUCGUUUCAUUGGGGAGCAAGGUGGUGAAAGUAAAGAAAUAAUCGAUGAUGGAUCGAAAUGGAUAAAUGUGAGAAAAGGGACCUGCUGCAUAUGCUGUGAGACUCCGAUUGACUCCCUUCUGUACAGAUGUGGGCACAUGUGCACUUGCUCGAAAUGCGCAAACGAAUUGGUUCGAGGUGGAGGGAAAUGCCCGUUGUGCCGCGCACCCAUAAUCGAGGUCAUCCGAGCAUACUUCAUCAUGUAGAUACAAAAGGAAGACAGCAAGAAGAUAGAAGAGGCCCAAAUUGUUUUUGGUCUGUGUGGAGUCGUUAGCGGGUUGUGUAUUCAAUUUUGUUCAUUCUCUCUAAUGCGUUUGGUUAAGUUUUUUUCCGGCUUCAUUUCGUUUUGGUCUGCUUGCCCUAUUGUAAGUAAUGUACGGUUUUGGGUGUGGCGGCAGGACGGGAAGGUGGUCUUCUCUCAUUAGGACUUGGGUCACUGCUAAUUAUGUUCCACAACGACUAAUGGGGUUGGAGGUUGUCGAAACACGAGAUGAGGAAACUUUUGGUAUCUUUUUGUUCGUGUAGCACCAGCAAAGUGCGGCUUGGUCGCUUCAGUGUUUCGUGUGAUUUUGUUGUUGGUCUUGGCUAUGUGGUCAUGAUAUUUUAGGCUUCUAGUUUGCAGAUGGAUGUAAAAGUGGUACUUUGUUGUCAUGGGCGAUGCUAUUUCCUGGAUGUUUGCUUUUUCUUUCCACAAUAGUAAAACAGAUCAUUUUUA